GACGAACGCUGGCGGCGUGCUUAACACAUGCAAGUCGAACGGAAAGGCCCUGCUUUUGUGGGGUGCUCGAGUGGCGAACGGGUGAGUAACACGUGAGUAACCUGCCCUUGACUUUGGGAUAACUUCAGGAAACUGGGGCUAAUACCGGAUAGGAGCUCCUGCUGAAUGGGGGGGGUUGGAAGGUUUCGGCGGUUGGGGAUGGACCGGCGGGUUUUCAGCUUGUUGGGGGGGUAGUGGUUUACCAAGGCUUUGACGGGUAGCCGGCCUGGGGGGGUGACCGGCCACAUUGGGACUGAGAUACGGCCCAGACUCCUACGGGAGGCAGCAGUGGGGAAUAUUGCACAAUGGGCGGAAGCCUGAUGCAGCAACGCCGCGUGCGGGAUGACGGCCUUCGGGUUGUAAACCGCUUUCGCCUGUGACGAAGCGUGAGUGACGGUAAUGGGUAAAGAAGCACCGGCUAACUACGUA
rnacentral:rRNA from 1 species